AGUCACUGACAUUAGAUACCCGCGUAGUCCCAGCCGUAAACAAUGUGCGUUAGGUGUGUCGGUAACCACGUGUUACUGAUGCGCCGAAGAGAAAUCGUGAAACGCACCACCUGGGAAGUACGGUCGCAAGGCUGAAACUUAAAGGAAUUGGCGGGGGAGCACCACAACAGGUGGAGCCUGCGGUUUAAUUGGAUUCAACGCCGGACAUCUCACCGGAUAAGACAGCUGAAUGAUUGUCAAUCUGAAGGUUUACAUGACUAGCUG
rnacentral:rRNA from 1 species